rnacentral:rRNA from 1 species
UACGUAGGGUCCGAGCGUUGUCCGGAAUUACUGGGCGUAAAGAGCUCGUAGGUGGUUUGUCGCGUUGUUCGUGAAAACUCACAGCUCAACUGUGGGCGUGCGGGCGAUACGGGCAGACUUGAGUACUGCAGGGGAGACUGGAAUUCCUGGUGUAGCGGUGGAAUGCGCAGAUAUCAGGAGGAACACCGGUGGCGAAGGCGGCAUUCUGGACCGAUAUUGACGCUGAGGAGCGAAAGCCAGGGGAGCAAACGGG